GAUCUAUGAUGAGAUUUUAUAUACAUCUGAUUCUAAAUGUGAUGUAUAUCACCAUUUUAGCUCUAGAAUUACUCUGAGAUCUG
ensembl:snoRNA